rnacentral:sRNA from 1 species
AAAGAGCGCUUGUGGGUGUCACCUCAAGGUGUGGGUGGUACUGGAAGGGAAGGGAAGGGUUGGUUGUGGCAUGGUGACCUAGAAGAGGUGAGACUCUGUGGGUGGCUUUCUUUGCGCAGAUGUAUCAACCUCCGCCUGCCUGAAGGCUGUGACAAUCCUUGGGUAUGGCAAUAUUGGUACCUUACUUAGCCCGAGUUCUACCCCAUCACAUCUCUUUGGGUAAAAUACGCCACAAUUUCUCAAGGAAUUCUGUACUGACCUGCCAUAUACGUGAGAAUACCUGAAAGAGUUGUCGGGCUCAGUGAUCUCUCCUGUCCCCAUCCACGUCUUGAAGCAUCUUCCACAGGGGCCCUGGUGCCUGGAAAUCAUCACCAGAAGCAACUUGAGGAGGAAAAGAGUUGAUUUCAGCGGAAGCUCAAGGCAGUAACCUGAAAACGAGAACCAUGGAAGGAAGAUCCGGUGGAGAGAGGCUGCUCAUUGGCUUGUUUUCGGGCACACGUUCAGCUUCCUUUCUUGUACAGCGCCGUUCCACCUGCCUAGGCAUGAUGUAGCCCACAGUCUACUUAGAACUUCCUUCAUCAAUCAGCAAUGAAGAAAAUGCCCACCCUCUACUCCGAUGUAGGAGAGUCCUCAGCUGAGCCUUUCUCUUCCCAGAUGUCAGGAGUGACGGGACACCAGAGGCGGAAGCACCUAUGUCCCCUGGCUACAGCAAAGUUCCCAGACCUAUGAAAACCAUCCAGCCUGCUCUGAGCCACAUGCCUGCAGGUCGCAGAGGCAUGCGGGAAAGUGAGAGGAAGUGGAAACGUGCUACAAGAGGGCUCAAAGCAAUGUGCUCACCACCGGAAAAAAAAAUAAAAAUAAACACACUCAGAAAUAGUGUAACUGAUAUGCAAAGGAGAUCAAAACAAGGUUUAAAAUAUCUUGGCUGAUUUAGAGUUGGUGGGCGUGGUAAGUGAAGUGAGGGUGUAAAUGUGUCAGGGGAGCUGGGUAGCCCUCUGCAGCCUGUCACACUUUGGGAGCCCUGAACCCCAAGGGGACAAUAUGGCAUUUACAAUCUCAAAAACUGAACCAUAGAAGCAAAGAGAAUGGUCAUUCUAGAGGUUAUCGAAGCGAUUUGGUGAGACUGGUAAAAAGAAUGCAGAAUUUCAGUUACACAGAGAAAGUAAAGAAUAUUAUUGCACCUGGUGAGCAGAGUUAAUAUAGGAUAAUAAUAUAAUGUCUUCUUAAAAGAUUGCAAGGAAUUUAUUUUCAGUAUUAUAAAAACGAUAAGGUGAUUCAUACAUUAAUUAGUUUGAUUUAGUCAUUCCAUAAUGUGUAGUGGUAUCAAAACAUCGUGCUGUAUGUCUUUAGUAUGUGGAAUUUAAUUAGUCACUUCAAAGGAUGAAUAAACAUAUAAAGCAAAUGUGGGUGGCAUAAAUUCUUCUGACUAUCUCAGAGGCAGAGAUGGACUCCGGAGCAAGAAACUGGGUGUUCCUGAGCCCCAAACUCCUCCCUCGCAGCCCUCUUGCUCUUCCUGAAGGUUCACCCCAUUUGGAAUCAUGGACAUUUGUUCCAGGGCAGGACAUCAAGGCUCAGACAGGAAAGUGGGGAGGCACCGAGAGUCCACCCAACUAGGCUGAAUUUCAAUGCUCAAGUUCCAGUUUGGAGCAAAUGUUCCUAGGUUAGGGAGUAGGGCUGAAUUAUCUCAGGAAAGACAGACUAGCCAGUCUUGUGAUGAGAAGUCCAUUUUCCUUUAGUGUGUUGCGAAGAAACAAACACACCCACUGUAUUUAUAAAAACAAGAAAUUAGAAAUUGUCUUUUGAGGCUGGCUCCUGGAGUGGGAAACUAAAAGGUUGGUGCUGGUUCUGCUGGUUUUAACCUUCCUAUGCCAAUUUAACCAAACCCAAUAAUAGACCAACCAUUGUGGGCACUUCCAGCAUCAGAAUGGCAUAAGUCAGAAGCAUAGGUGCAAAAGGCAGUGUUUGCUCUCUACAGAUCCGGAAGGCACGCACUGGAGCAGGAUGUGAGACGGAUGCUACAGCAGGUGCCUAACCACCUAUCUUACAAUGUCCUUACAAAGCGCCUCCACCUCUCAUCCUUAGGGCUGGAAUGGCUAAGGCUAAUCACCGGUUUCCAGCUAAAGAAACUGAGGCUCCAUGAAGAAAUGAUCCAAGUUCCUGAAAUGAGAAGCCUAUUCAAGGCUGAUCUUGAGUUGAUAUUGUAAUACGUCAUCACCGUGAGAUGCACAGAAUCAACCCAUUCCUGGCUCACAAAGCCCAGCCUUGGGCAGAGGUGGAAGAGGGCACAUGUCCUGUUUUGCUUCCUGUUCCUAUGAUGAAUACCACGGUUCAGUGCAACUCAGGAAGGGAAAGUGUUUAUUUGGCUUUCUUUUCCCACACUACAGCCAUCGCCUGGAGAAGUCAGGGCAGGAACUCAAGGCAGGACCCUGGGGGCAGAAGCCAUGAAGGAACACUUGCUGAUUGGUGGUUCCCCACAGCUUGGCUGGGUCUGUUUUACUUCCUUUGCUUCUUCCUUUUAUUUUAAUCUCCCCAAAUGACUCAUUUAUUAGAAAGUUGAAUAUAAUAAUAAUAAUA